AGCUCCAAUAGCGUAUAUUAAAGUUGUUGCAGUUAAAAAGCUCGUAGUUGGAUUUCGGGGCCCCGGGCGUUCGUUGCGUUUCCUGCCGGCUUGUCUUGUGGGUGCGUGGCGGGCGUCGGUCUCUUAGUCGGAUCGGUCCGCCGAGAGGCGUGUACUGACCCACGGCCCCCGUUGUCUCUCGGGGUGCCCGCCCGCACCUUACUGUUUCGGGCGGGGGGGUUGGGGGGUGUUCCAAGCAGGCCGAUUGCUUUGAAUACAUUAGCAUGGAAUAAUGGAAUAGGGCUGCGUGACUCUUCGUCUUCGGGCGGGGGGUCCUCGUGUCCUAUUUUGUUGGUUUUCGGGACCGCAGUCAUGGUCAAGAGGGACAGUUGGGGGCAUUCGUAUUCAGUUGUCAGAGGUGAAAUUCUUGGAUUUACGGAAGACGAACAACUGCGAAAGCAUUUGCCAAGGAUGUUUUCA
rnacentral:rRNA from 1 species